rnacentral:rRNA from 1 species
AUUGAACGCUGGCGGCAGGCCUAACACAUGCAAGUCGAGCGGGGUUUUCGGACCUAGCGGCGGAUGGGUGAGUAAUGCGUAGGAAGCUACCCGACAGAGGGGGAUACCAGUUGGAAACGACUGUUAAUACCGCAUAAUGUCUACGGACCAAAGUGUGGGACCUUCGGGCCACAUGCUGUCGGAUGCGCCUACGUGGGAUUAGCUAGUUGGUGAGGUAACGGCUCACCAAGGCGACGAUCCCUAGCUGGUUUGAGAGGAUGAUCAGCCACACUGGAACUGAGACACGGUCCAGACUCCUACGGGAGGCAGCAGUGGGGAAUAUUGGACAAUGGGCGAAAGCCUGAUCCAGCCAUGCCGCGUGUGUGAAGAAGGCCUUCGGGUUGUAAAGCACUUUCAGUAGGGAGGAAGAGUUGAGUGUUAAUAGUACUCAGCUUUGACGUUACCUACAGAAGAAGCACCGGCUAACUCUAUGCCAGCCGCCGCAGUAAAAC